rnacentral:rRNA from 1 species
UCGCGAAUAGCUCAUUACAACAGCCAUAGUUUAUUGGAUGUUUACGUUCCUACAAGGACACCUGCGGUAAUUCUGGAGCUAAUACUUGCGAAAUGCGACAACCUCACGGGAGUCGUGCAUUUAUUAGAUUAAACCAAUCGGUCCUUCGGGACCGCCAUUUGGUGAACUCUGAAUAACUUAGCUGAUCGCACAGUCUCGUACUGGCGACAAAUCUUUCAAGUGUCUGCCUUAUCAACUUUCGAUGGUAGUUUAUACGACUACCAUGGUUGUAACGGGUAACGGAGAAUAAGGGUUCGACUCCGGAGAGGGAGCCUGAGAAACGGCUACCACAUCCAAGGAAGGCAGCAGGCGCGCAAAUUACCCACUCGCAGAACGCGGAGGUAGUGACGAAAAAUAACGAGGUGGCUCUCUAUGAGGUCCAUCGUCGGAAUGGGUACAAUUUAAAUCCUUUAACGAGGAUCUAUUGGAGGGCAAGUCUGGUGCCAGCAGCCGCGGUAAUUCCAGCU